UGAGGAUGAAAGAAAGAAACUGCUCACUGGGAAAGACGGAAGAUAUAAGGAAAAAAUGCAACAAGAACUAGAGAAGAAAGAAGACAAACAGGCCAAAGCGCAGAACAGGCUGAGCUCCAAAAGAGAUUGUCUUAUUUGGAAUCAAAGUUUAUAGUUGGAGGUGUCAAUUUGCUUGAGUAGAUUGAGAAACAAUUAGAAAGUCAAGUUAGAAAAGUCAAGAAAAGAUUUAGAAAAGAGGAAGAAGGAAGAGUCCAUACUAAAAGAACAACUUAAGCAGAAAGAGGUUGAAAGACAGGAUUAUUUGGUCAAUAGAGGUGACAAGGGACAUCAUUACACAUGAAUUGAAGGAUACUUGGAAACAACUGCAAUCAAUGAAAGAUGUAUCAUAGGAAAACACAAAAUGCUCCUCCCUCUCUUGCCCUCCUAACUUCUCCCACUUCUAAAUUCUAGUUCAAUAAACUCUCAGUUUUCUAUUCUCCCUUUUUUCUUUUUAUUUAUUUUUUGGCUCUAUGACUGUUCAUCAUUGAGACCCCAAGGUCACUAUUUUCACUUAUAUAUUCAUUUUGUCCUGUUUCUUCUUAUUCUGUCUUUCCCUUUUAAAGUUAUGAUUAUUAUUAUUAUUAUUAUUACAAGUGUUGUAUCAAGUGACAGUCAGUAUCCACAUCAAGAAGACUUAUACGGACAAAAACACUUUGCAUGACAAGAAUAAAAAUAAUGAACUAAUAUAGUAUGCCAUGUACACUUGACAAAAAUAAUUAAAAUGUACAUAAAAAGAUUUCUUUGACCAUCCAUUGAUUACUUGUGCUCAGUAUGAGUGGAGGACAUGUCUUCAUUCUCAUCAUCUUCAUUGUGGAGUCUAGAUCUAUUGUCUUCCACACCUGAUGAUUGGUUAGCAACUUCUUCCAAUUCUAUUGGAUGGUCAUUAUCUGGUUGAUCCAGUUGAGUGCUAAGCACCUCUUUUUUCACUGUUUUACUUCUUUGAUCAACUUCAAUUAGAAUUAUUGCUAGUCGAUACGUAAUGAUACUGACAACUGCAACAAUGAUCAUAAGCUCUAUCGGAUCAUUGCCAAACAUUGUAAUGAUGUUCAGUUGGUAUGAAACAUAAUCAAUAAGGGCCAAUAUUGGUAGCCAUGUCACCACAUAAAUGAAUAUUGUGUAGAACAUUGCUGCAAUCAUGACCCAGGCAUCACGUUUUCUCUGUCCCCUGUUCUCAUAUCUACAAACUAAUUUACUGCAUCUUCUGAUGAAAUAUGGUACUCUCCUAUAUAUUAUCAUUGCUGGUAGAUACAUAGGGAUGAGAGGGAGGAUUUUAGACAGUACUAGGCCAGGAUACACUGCAAAUAUGAUGGCAAUCCAGAAUCCAUGAAAUACAGCAAAUGCACUUAAAACUGUCAGAAGUGAUACUGUUACUAUUUGGCUAAUGAUGUGUUGCUGCCCAUCAUUCUUUACUGCUGCACAAGUCAUGCAUUUGAUGACUGUAGGGAUAAAAAAGCUGACAAUAAAACAUGAGGAAACUAUGAUUGGUACUGGUAGAAAAACAAGCCAGUUUUCAGUGUUAUACUUUACUCUGGAAACAAAGUAUCCAUUAUAACUAUCAUAAAAGCUCCAAAGUAUAAUAGCAAAUACAUAAAAAACAUUAUGAGCUGGCGAAGAAAUCGACUCUAAGAAAGGAGUUUGAUUCAUGUCACUGCCCUCACCAGAGAUUCCAGAAGUAGCUGUACUGACUGCAAUCUUGAUUGCUUUAUCAAUACGUUUUCUAAUGCUCCCCGAGCAUACUCGAAAACUGAGAACCAAAAAUACAUUAAUGACGACAGUCAAUAGACAAUAUGUUAUAAGGAUGUUAACCCGAACAUUAAUCAGUUCAUAGUAUUGCGUUGGAAAUUCAUUGCCUGAUUCAUAGUACCUCACAUAGCCUUUCAAUUGCUCGUCAUUACCACCUAUUGCAUAGCCCUUUAACUAAAAUAAAGAAUAGUACUA